rnacentral:rRNA from 1 species
UACGUAGGGUGCGAGCGUUGUCCGGAAUUAUUGGGCGUAAAGAGCUUGUAGGCGGUCUGUCGCGUCUGCUGUGAAAACCCGCAGCUCAACUGUGGGCUUGCAGCCGAUACGGGCAGGCUAGAGUUCGGUAGGGGAGACUGGAAUUCCUGGUGUAGCGGUGAAAUGCGCAGAUAUCAGGAGGAACACCGGUGGCGAAGGCGGGUCUCUGGGCCGAUACUGACGCUCAUGCACGAAAGCGUGGGGAGCAAACAGG